rnacentral:rRNA from 1 species
GACGAACGCUGGCGGCGUGCCUAACACAUGCAAGUUGAGCGACGAACCAGGGCUUGCCCUGGGGCAAAGCAGCGAACGGGUGAGUAACACGUGGGUAACCUACCCCGAUAACCGGGACAACCCGAGGAAACUCGGGCUAAUACCGGAUGUGCUCACUGGACUUCGGUUCAGUGCGUAAAGGAAGCUUCGGCCUCCGUAUCGGGAGGGGCCCGCGGCCCAUUAGUUUGUUGGUGAGGUAACGGCUCACCAAGACCGCGAUGGGUAGCUGGUCUGAGAGGACGAUCAGCCACACUGGGACUGAGACACGGCCCAGACUCCUACGGGAGGCAGCAGUGGGGAAUCUUGCGCAAUGCGCGAAAGCGUGACGCAGCAACGCCGCGUGGGGGAAGAAGGCCUUCGGGUUGUAAACCCCUUUCAGGAGGGACGAAGGUUCGGCGGUGAAUAGCCGUCCGGACUGACGGUACCUCCGCAAGAAGCCCCGGCUAACUACGUG